AAGGGACGAGACCAUCACAAUGCUGACGGGUUAUCCAGACGUGAGGAAACAAAUGCCAGACUUCGCAGACCUUCGGGCCGAGACAACAGUCAGGACUCCAACAUUGGCAUCAUGCCUGUCUCCUCGAUUUAAGAAGGGGGAGGUAUGUGAGGAGACCAGGGAAAGGGAUGUCUAGGACAUGCUUUCAUGUUAAAAAGGAAAGAGUUAAUCCUAUGGCCCAAGUUCUGAGUUCUUAAAUUGAAGCCCUCAGUCUGCAGAAGUCACACACAGGAAGUAUCCCAGAAGCAGACAGCAGGGGAGUGUUCCUUUUAGAAAAGCCCUCCUCCUUCCCCUCUGGAAAGACUGACAGCAUGAUCCACCAAUCAGAAAGGAGGAGAGAGAAGGAACCAGCAAGGGGGAAUUGUGGGGGGAGGAAGUGGCUGGGAGAAGGAGACUGUGUGUGUGUGGAGGUGAUGGUGCACAGCUAGACUCACUGGAGGUUGGGGUGUUGUCCCCUCUCAGUGUCAUCAGUGACCAGCCACUCUGUGUGCCCUGCUACAGCUGUCAUUACUGCCCAGGCCUGGAGGAGAUAUAGAGCAGCUGCCUGCAGAACUUCUAUGUGUGACAUUCCCAGGAAUGGUGGAGCCUGAGAGAGUCUGUCCUAUGAAGGAGGCUGGGAGCAGUGAAAGCCCGAUAGUAGAAACUGCAUCACUUAAAUAUUGAACUGACUACUCCGUGAACCUUUGUGCCUGGAGAAUGGAGCCUCCAGGAGCUUAGAGCAUCUUUUAUUAAUAAAGACAUUUCUGCAGCAAUUUCGCCUAGUUUAGCAAUGGGUGAAAUGUAUUUAGUUAUCUACCAGCAGUGACUCUAGCGUGACAACAGAGCAUUCAGUAUGGGAGAGGAAGCUGAAAGGGACCAUACGGAAAUCUUUAACACUUAAAAAUAUAUAUGAUUUUGUACAGUGAACGGUUGUUGAAAUUUCAAUUGUCUGAGAUUUAAGGGGUAAUUCAGACUGCAUCACUGCAGUGGCAGCGAUCGCAGUCUGAAUUACUUUGUAGAGUGCGCACGCGCAGCGGCCGCACUGCGCGUGCGCACCCCGGGAGCCCAGUGAGAUGCUAUCAGCUGCUCACUGGUGCGAUCGCCUCUGCCUGAUUGACAGGCAGAGGUUGUCGCAGGCCGGGAGGGGGCGUUAGAACACUGCUGGCGGGGCGCGGUCCGGACAAUGGAGCCAUGUCCGGACCGUUGGGGGGGCGGCCGCGGCGGUUGCGACCCAGGAUGCGGCGAGUAGCGGCCUACCAGCACGCAGGAGCUGCGCAGGCAGGGAGCUACUCGUCCAGUACAAAAGCAUCGCCGCUGUGCGAUACUUUUAUACCUGUGCGGGGGGGGGCAGAGCCAGACAUGCGGGGUGGACUAGCCCUGUGCUGGGCGUCCCCCCGCAUGUCUGUGAAACUGAUCAUAGAUGUGCUAAAUUUAGCACAUCUACGAUCAGCUCUGAAUUAGGCCCUUUAAUCCAAAAUUACUGCUUGGAAAACUGAUGCUUGUUGUUUUACAAUGCAGCCACUAGGGGCUCUGUUCCACUGGACAAUGCAGCUGAUAUUCAUUUGAUUUAUAUAGCGCUUUUGUCCAAUAGGACUCAGUAGUUUGAUUCAUAGUCAGAUUAUCAAUUUGAUGUUAAUAAAUUCUCAAAGCAGAAUUAAUGUAUUCCUGAAACACUGAAUAAAAUUAGAAAA